rnacentral:rRNA from 1 species
GACGAACGCUGGCGGCGUGCUUAACACAUGCAAGUCGAACGGUAAGGCCCUUCGGGGUACACGAGUGGCGAACGGGUGAGUAACACGUGGGUGAUCUGCCCUGCACUUCGGGAUAAGCCUGGGAAACUGGGUCUAAUACCGGAUAGGACCACUGCCUGCAUGGGUGGUGGUGGAAAGCUUUUGCGGUGUGGGAUGGGCCCGCGGCCUAUCAGCUUGGUGGUGGGGUGAUGGCCUACCAAGGAGACGACGGGUAGCCGGCCUGAGGGGGUGACCGGCCACACUGGGACUGAGAGACGGCCCAGACUCCUACGGGAGGCAGCAGUGGGGAAUAUUGCACAAUGGGCGCAAGCCUGAUGCAGCGACGCCGCGUGAGGGAUGACGGCCUUCGGGUUGUAAACCUCUUUCAGCACCGACGAAGCGCAAGUGACGGUAGGUGCAGAAGAAGGACCGGCCAACUACGUGCCAGCCGCCGCGGUAA